GCCGCGCGCAGGACGGCCGUCGCGGCGGCGUCCCCGGCGCGGGCGGCGGCGGCGAUCGCGGCGACGUCCGCGUCCGGAUCGCCGCCGGACGCCCGGUAC
rnacentral:tRNA from 1 species